rnacentral:rRNA from 2 species
CGGUGAAAUGCGUAGAGAUUAGGAAGAACACCAGUGGCGAAGGCGAUUCUCUGGACUGUAACUGACGCUGAGGCACGAAAGCGUGGGUAGCAAACAGGAUUAGAUACCCUGGUAGUCCACGCCGUAAACGAUGAGUACUAGGUGUAGGAGGUAUCGACUCCUUCUGUGCCGCAGUAAACACAUUAAGUACUCCGCCUGGGAAGUACGAUCGCAAGAUUAAAACUCAAAGGAAUUGACGGGGGCCCGCACAAGCAGCGGAGCAUGUGGUUUAAUUCG